rnacentral:lncRNA from 1 species
UCAUAGUGCUAAUUAUUAUUUUUUUUUUCUUUGUACCUGUCAUCAUAAGAUGAUCAAACUUCAGACUUUUUAUUCAGUCUUUAACACAGCUGUGUGAUUGUGGCAGAUUAGUUAGAUCCUCCCUGUAGUGACGUCAUGUUAUUGGUAGCCUAUCGUCCCGCAGGGAGGUGUGUAUAAAUCAUAGACAGUAAAAGAAUAUAAAUGGCUGUUUGGUGCGGGCCGGAUGUGUGUCAUCUGUUCUGUGCCUGCGCUCUUCCUGUUUACCGGCAUUCAACAGAGGUCUGUGGUUAAAACACAGCCGUGUGGGCAUUUUAACACCGCUUGUGUCAUUUGGUGGGGCUUUGUGUACACUGAAGAGUCUAUUGUAAACAACCGUUACGUGCGGUCUGGCUCGUUACACUGCCUAGUCCCAGGAGCUGUGUGUCCGACGGCAGUGAGGCUUUCCUUCACCGUGUGCUGUGUUAUGCUGUGUGAGCACCACUGAUAAAAUCACGGGUAUUGGAGUGAGUGUGUGUGUGUGUGUGUGUGUGCGUGGGUGCACUUAGUGUGAUUCUCCUCUUUUGCUCCGAGUUAAAUGUGAAUCCUUAUUGUGGAUUAUGAUUUUCCAGCUUAGUAAUUGGCUGGGUGAUUAAUAUUCCUGCAUUUUAAACUUUUGUACUAAUAAACAAACUCUAUUUUGCUACCCACGUCUCUUGUUCCUUUUAUUCAGUGGAAUGAACCUGGGUUCCUUAUAACAUUUUAAGUGAACUGUGAUUCCCUGGUAUAGUCCCAGGGUGGCGUAGUCUAUUGUAUAUCCCUUGAGUGUUGAAUAUUGCUGCAAAAAAAGACCACUUCGCCACAUGAUCAUCUUAAUUAUGAAACUCACAUUAUGGUCAUAAGACUCACUCUUAAGAUUCAGAGACUAUGGUUGAGUUCCUGGACUGGUGAGAAUAAAAAAAACAACACCAAUACAUUUAUAUGGAUGAUGUGUUAAAAAAAAAAUAAACGUUGGUUUGAAAGCUCCCAGAAUGAGUAGCACCCAGAAUGAGGACAUAAAGUCAGUGUACUACAAGCGGUG